CAAGAUCGUCAUGAUACAGUACGUUUAAAAGGCGGACGUAAGCUGUCGACUAUGGGAUCGGCCCGCGGUGCAUUAGCUAGUUGGUAAGGUAAAGGCUUACCAAGGCGAUGAUGCAUAGCCCGAGUUGAGAGACUGAUCGGGCCACAUUGGGGACUGAGACACGGGGCCCAAACUCCUACGGGGGGAGGGGCAGCAGUAGGGGGAAUCUUCCACAAUGGACGCAAGUCUGAUGGAGCAACGCCGCGUGAGUGAAGUAAGGUUUUCGGAUACGUAAAGCUCUGUUGUUGGUGAAGAAGGAUAGAGGUAGUAACUGGCCUUUAUUUGACGGUAAUCAACCAGAAAGUCACGGCUAACUACGUGCCAGCAGCCGCGGUAAU
rnacentral:rRNA from 1 species